CCUACGGGAGGCAGCAGUGGGGAAUCUUGCGCAAUGGGCGAAAGCCUGACGCAGCCAUGCCGCGUGAAUGAUGAAGGUCUUAGGAUUGUAAAAUUCUUUCACCGGGGACGAUAAUGACGGUACCCGGAGAAGAAGCCCCGGCUAACUUCGUGCCAGCAGCCGCGGUAAUACGAAGGGGGCUAGCGUUGCUCGGAAUUACUGGGCGUAAAGGGAGCGUAGGCGGAUAGUUUAGUCAGAGGUGAAAGCCCAGGGCUCAACCUUGGAAUUGCCUUUGAUACUGGCUAUCUUGAGUUUGGGAGAGGUGAGUGGAACUCCGAGUGUAGAGGUGAAAUUCGUAGAUAUUCGGAAGAACACCAGUGGCGAAGGCGACUCACUGGCCCAAUACUGACGCUGAGGCUCGAAAGCGUGGGGAGCAAACAGGAUUAGAUACCCUGGUAGUCCACGCCGUAAACGAUGAGUGCUAGUUGUCGGCAUGCAUGCAUGUCGGUGACGCGAGCUACGACAUAAGUACACNCCGCCGUCGGGUAGGUACGGUCGGCGAGAAGUUAAACGUUAAACGUAAAGUUAGUUACGGUCGUUGAGACGUUGCCGACGGACGACGACGAGGGAGGAGG
rnacentral:rRNA from 1 species